rnacentral:rRNA from 1 species
UACGUAGGGUGCGAGCGUUAAUCGGAAUUACUGGGCGUAAAGCGCGCGCAGGUGGUUUCUUAAGUCUGAUGUGAAAGCCCACGGCUCAACCGUGGAGGGUCAUUGGAAACUGGGAGACUUGAGUGCAGAAGAGGAAAGUGGAAUUCCAUGUGUAGCGGUGAAAUGCGUAGAGAUAUGGAGGAACACCAGUGGCGAAGGCGACUUUCUGGUCUGUAACUGACACUGAGGCGCGAAAGCGUGGGGAGCAAACAGG